rnacentral:tRNA from 1 species
GCCCGGAUGGCGAAAUGGCAGACGCACAGGACUUAAAAUCCUGGGUCCCGGAAGGGACGUGCGGGUUCGAGUCCCGCUCCGGGCA